rnacentral:rRNA from 1 species
AGAGUUUGAUCAUGGCUCAGAAUCAACGCUGGCGGCGUGCCUAACACAUGCAAGUCGCACGAGAAAGGGGCUUCGGCUCUGAGUAAAGUGGCGCACGGGUGAGUAACACGUGACUAAUCUACCCUCGAGUGGGGAAUAACUGAGAGAAAUCUUAGCUAAUACCGCAUAACACUUACGAGUCAAAGCAGCAAUGCGCUUGGGGAGGAGGUCGCGGCCGAUUAGCUAGUUGGCGGGGUAAUGGCCCACCAAGGCGAUGAUCGGUAUCCGGCCUGAGAGGGCGCACGGACACACUGGAACUGAAACACGGUCCAGACUCCUACGGGAGGCAGCAGUGGGGAAUUUUGCGCAAUGGGGGAAACCCUGACGCAGCAACGCCGCGUGGAGGAUGAAAUAUCUUGGUAUGUAAACUCCUUUCGAUGGGGAAGAUUAUGACGGUACCCAUAGAAGAAGCCCCGGCUAACUUCGUGCCAGCAGCCGCGGUAAUACGAGGGGGGCAAGCGUUGUUCGGAUUUAUUGGGCGUAAAGGGUGCGUAGGCGGUUUGAUAAGUCUGAUGUGAAAUCUAUGGGCUCAACCCAUAGUCUGCAUUAGAAACUGUCGGGCUUGAGUAUGGGAGAGGUGAGUGGAAUUUCCGGUGUAGCGGUGAAAUGCGUAGAUAUCGGAAGGAACACCUGUGGCGAAAGCGGCUCACUGGACCAUAACUGACGCUGAUGCACGAAAGCUAGGGGAGCAAACAGGAUUAGAUACCCUAGUAGUCC